rnacentral:rRNA from 1 species
CCUACGGGUGGCAGCAGUGGGGAAUAUUGGACAAUGGGCGAAAGCCUGAUCCAGCCAUGCCGCGUGUGUGAAGAAGGCCUUCGGGUUGUAAAGCACUUUCAGUGGGGAAGAAAGCCUUGGGGCUAAUACCCUCGAGGAAGGACAUCACCCACAGAAGAAGCACCGGCUAACUCCGUGCCAGCAGCCGCGGUAAUACGGAGGGUGCGAGCGUUAAUCGGAAUUACUGGGCGUAAAGCGCGCGUAGGCGGUCUGAUAAGCCGGUUGUGAAAGCCCCGGGCUCAACCUGGGAACGGCAUCCGGAACUGUCAGGCUAGAGUGCAGGAGAGGAAGGUAGAAUUCCCGGUGUAGCGGUGAAAUGCGUAGAGAUCGGGAGGAAUACCAGUGGCGAAGGCGGCCUUCUGGACUGACACUGACGCUGAGGUGCGAAAGCGUGGGUAGCAAACAGGAUUAGAUACCCCUUAGUC